UGGCUGAGGAUGAACGCUGGCGGCGUGCUUAACACAUGCAAGUCGAACGAUGAUCUCCAGCUUGCUGGGGGGAUUAGUGGCGAACGGGUGAGUAACACGUGAGUAACCUGCCCUUGACUCUGGGAUAAGCCUGGGAAACUGGGUCUAAUACCGGAUAUGACCAUCUGGCGCAUGUCAUGGUGGUGGAAAGCUUUUUUGUGGUUUUGGAUGGACUCGCGGCCUAUCAGCUUGUUGGUGGGGUAAUGGCCUACCAAGGCGACGACGGGUAGCCGGCCUGAGAGGGUGACCGGCCACACUGGGACUGAGACACGGCCCAGACUCCUACGGGAGGCAGCAGUGGGGAAUAUUGCACAAUGGGCGCAAGCCUGAUGCAGCGACGCCGCGUGAGGGAUGACGGCCUUCGGGUUGUAAACCUCUUUCAGUAGGGAAGAAGCGUAAGUGACGGUACCUGCAGAAGAAGCGCCGGCUAACUACGUGCCAGCAGCCGCGGUAAUACGUAGGGCGCAAGCGUUAUCCGGAAUUAUUGGGCGUAAAGAGCUCGUAGGCGGUUUGUCGCGUCUGCUGUGAAAGACCGGGGCUCAACUCCGGUUCUGCAGUGGGUACGGGCAGACUAGAGUGCAGUAGG
rnacentral:rRNA from 1 species